rnacentral:rRNA from 1 species
AUUGAACGCUGGCGGCAUGCCUUACACAUGCAAGUCGAACGGCAGCACGGACUUCGGUCUGGUGGCGAGUGGCGAACGGGUGAGUAAUGCAUCGGAACGUACCUUUCAGUGGGGGAUAACUAUCCGAAAGGAUAGCUAAUACCGCAUAUUCUGUGAGCAGGAAAGCAGGGGAUCGCAAGACCUUGCGCUGAUUGAGCGGCCGAUAUCAGAUUAGGUAGUUGGUGGGGUAAAGGCCUACCAAGCCAACGAUCUGUAGCUGGUCUGAGAGGACGACCAGCCACACUGGGACUGAGACACGGCCCAGACUCCUACGGGAGGCUG